ensembl:miRNA
GUGGGCCUGGGUCGGUGGGGACAGGGCGGCUGGGCGUGCCCUGCGGCCGCUGCUCUAACCGCACCGUCCCCCAG